GGUUUAUAUCAACUGCGUUACCAUUAUUUGGGAUAUAUUCCUUUCAUAUAUGAAGCACAAGGACCAAGUUAAAAAGCAAGAAAAGGAAAUUUGACAACAAAGCUGAAUAGUAUUUUGUCAUUUCUAACAUGUUUGUGUGUUCUGUAACAAAUUUAUGAACAUAUAAUUAACAAAACAUAUUUACAUUUCCA